UACGGGGGGCAAGCGUUGUUCGGAAUUACUGGGCGUAAAGGGUUCGUAGGUGGCCUGCUAAGUCGGACGUGAAAUCCCUCGGCUCAACCGGGGAACUGCGUCUGAUACUGGAUGGCUUGAGUUUGGGAGAGGGAUGCGGAAUUCCGAGGUGUAGCGGUGAAAUGCGUAGAUAUCUGGAGGAACACCGGUGGCGAAGGCGGCAUCCUGGACCAACACUGACGCUGAGGAGCGGAAAAGCCCAGGGGAAGCAAAGCGGGGAUUAA
rnacentral:rRNA from 1 species